rnacentral:rRNA from 1 species
AUGGCGUGCAGAGCUCUCGCCGUCCUCGUGUUUGCAGUGCUCAUCGUCCCGUUCCCGCCGAUAACUUCCGCAAACGACAAUCAUGGCUUCCGGGGCUCCCUCACUCGCAUGCGCCAACACUUCAGCAACUACUCCGCCGCGGUACACCGCGACACGCACCGCCUGGCUUUCCUAGCGCGCGCUCCAACGACGAACACGACGACCACCCUUGCACUCCAGGCGCUGGUCGAGAACGGCGCCGGAGCGUACCACAUGAGCGUGUCCAUCGGCACGCCGCCGCUCACCUUCCCUGCCAUCCUCGACACCGGCAGCGACCUGGUCUGGACGCAGUGCGCGCCGUGCACCGAGUGCUUCGCGCAGCCGACGCCGCUGUACGACCCGGCAGGCUCCUCCACCUUCUCCAAGCUCCCGUGCGCGAGCCCGCUCUGCCAGUCCAUGCCGAGCCCCUUCCGCGCCUGCAACGCCAGCGGCUGUGUCUACGACUACCGCUACGUCGUCGGUUUCACCGCCGGCUGCCUCGCCACCGAGACGCUCACCGUCGGCGACGCCACGUUCCGCGAGGUCACGUUCGGGUGCAGCACGGCGAACGGCGGGCACAUGGACAACGCGUCGGGCAUCGUGGGGCUCGGGCGCAGCCCGCUGUCCCUCGUGUCGCAGCUCGGCAUCGGCCGGUUCUCCUACUGCCUCCGCUCCGACUCGGAGGCCGGCGCCAGCCCGAUACUGUUCGGCUCCCUGGCCAGCGUGACAGGCGACGACGUCCAGUCCACGCCGUUCGUCCGGAACCCCGCGGUGCCGGUGCGACGCGCCCCGUACUACUACGUGAACCUCACCGGCGUCACGGUCGGCGCGGCAGACCUCCCGGUCGCGCCCAGCACGUUCGGCUUCACGCGCGCCGGCGCGGGUGGCGUGAUCGUCGACUCCGGCACGACCUUCACGUACUUUGCCGAGGCGGGGUACGCGAUGCUGAGGCAGGCGUUCCUCUCGCAGACAGCUGGGCGGCUGACGAGAGUGAGCGGCGCCCCGUUCGACUUCGACCUGUGCUUCGAGGCAGGCGGCGACCUCGACGUCGACGCCGUGCCAGUGCCAGACCUGGUGCUCCGUUUUGCGGGCGGCGCGGAGUACGCCGUCCCGCGGCGAAGCUACUUCGACGCCGUGGACGAGCAAGGCCGUGUGGCGUGCUUGCUGGUGCUGCCGACGAGGGGCGUGUCCGUCAUAGGCAACGUGAAGCAGAUGGACCUGCACGUGCUCUACGAUCUCGACGGCGGGGUGCUAUCCUUCACCCCGGCUGAUUGCGCUAGUGUUUGA